rnacentral:lncRNA from 1 species
GCCUGUCUGGCACGCCAUACUCUCUCUAUCUCAUUGUCUCUAACCCUUUCACUCUUUGCCUGCGGUAACCAUAACCGUCUGUCAAUAGCUUCUUUCUCAAGCAAUAAUGGAAAGAAGCAGGAGGAUCCUAACCCUCUAUCAAAUGCAAGGAAGCCUGGGGGAACUUAAUCCUCUGUCAAAUGGAAGGAAGCCUCAGGGAACCUAAUCCUCUGUCAAAUGGAAGGAAGCCUCAGGGAACCUAACCCUCUCUCUCGAUCAUUUCAAUCAUAGAAGGAAGAGGAAGUGAGCAGAGCAGUGGUUACAACAGAACAAAGGAAGUCUAUCUAGAGUGAGAGAGACGAGCAGUAGUCACAAGGAAGGCUCUCUAGAAUAAGAGAGAGGGGGCAUCACUAGUUUUGCAUAUUAGUUGUUUCUUAGAAAAGAGAGAGAUGGGGUGCACUGUUCUUCAAUAAAAAGAGAGACAGGGGUGUACUACUACUAGAUGGUGCAGGUGGAAAUAGUGGUGGAAUUCGAUUUGCUUGGUUGUGGCUACUUAUUUCUGUCAAUAUUUGAUUGAAUUUAGGUUGUGGCAUGUUCAUCAAAAACAAAAUAAUAUCAAUCAAUUUCUUGAAGUUGGGCCAUGAUAUGUUCAUUCAGUCAAUUUCUUGAAUUGGGC